AAGAAUGCCAUAAUGGCAAACUUGUAAAUAAUUGAAACUUCAAAUAAAUAUCUAGAUAUUUUAUCUAGCUAAACUUGGUGCCCAAGUCUCUAUUUCAUCUUCUCCAUUUGAGUGUGGGUGCCGAACCAUUCAAGCUCAAAACACAAAAAUUUAUCCUUUGAUUUUCUCUCAAAAUUUUCUUAACGGAAAUUGACGAGGAGCUUACGUAGAUCAUUAAUCUAUAUUUGCAUGUUCGUUUGAGAUCCAGCGAGUUUUGUCGCGGAAACCGGCGAGCAAAGGUUUUGAAUAUUCGACGGGUGGUAUUUUUAUAAUUGGAAUAAGCGAGUACUGUGAGUGUGUUUACAACUUAUACUGCUAAAUAUUAGUAUUAAAAAUAUUGCGAACUGCUUUACAUGAUUUGCAAAUGCUUUAUUUUAUUUUGAAUUUAAAUCGCAUGAACUAUUCAUAGUGUUGAAACCGAUUUAUAUUCAUUGAAACAUGCUUACUAUUGGGCGGCAAUAGUGCUGUGUGAUCACCGGUAUUGCAUUUAGAAUGGGUUGCAUGUGAAUGUGCUGUGUGAAUCCUGGCGACGGCCUGGAAAGUCAGGCGACGGCCUAGACUCUGUGUGAACAGAUCUUCAGAGGCAACGGAAUAUAGACGACCAAAGGCAGUCAGCAAACUGCCGAGAUCUGAGAGGUUGAACCUUUUAUUAAAAAAAGUGAAAUUGGCGACAGUAUUUAUGUACUGCCGAAAUCCGUUGUAUUGUAAGAAGAGUCUGGGACUUUCAAAUACGUAAAAUAAGAAUAAUCGGAUUUGACUGGCUAAAAGUACAAAAA